rnacentral:rRNA from 1 species
GGAUUCCCCUAGUAACGGCGAGUGAAGCGGGAAGAGCUCAAAUUUGAAAUCUGGCGGUCUAAGGCCGUCCGAGUUGUAAUCUAGAGAGGUGUUUUCCGUGCCGGACCGUGUACAAGUCCCUUGGAACNGGGCGUCAUAGAGGGUGAGAAUCCCGUCCAUGACACGGACUCCCGGUGCUCUGUGAUACACCUUCAAAGAGUCGAGUUGUUUGGGAAUGCAGCUCAAAAUGGGUGGUAAAUUCCAUCUAAAGCUAAAUACAGGCGAGAGACCGAUAGCGAACAAGUACCGUGAGGGAAAGAUGAAAAGAACUUUGGAAAGAGAGUUAAACAGUACGUGAAAUUGUUGAAAGGGAAACGCUUGGAGUCAGUCGCGUUUGCUGGGACUCAGCCUUGCUUUUGCUUGGUGCACUUCUCGGUAGAUGGGCCAACAUCAAUUUUGGGUGAUGGAUAAGGGCAGGAGGAAUGUGGCAUCUUCGGAUGUGUUAUAGCCUUCGGUCGUACACAUUGCUUGGGAUUGAGGACUGCAGCACGCCUUUUGGUCGGGGUUCGCCCACGCCACGUGCUUAGGAUGUUGGCGAAAUGGCUUUAAACGACCCGUCUUGAAACACGGACCAAGGAGUCUAACAUGCCUGCGAGUGUUUGGGUGCAAAACCCAUGCGCGUAAUGAAAGUGAAAAGUUGGGACUCUUUAGUGAGGCACCGACGCCCGAUCCUGAAGUUCUCUGACGGAUUUGAGGCA